UGGCAUUAAUUAACUCUAAUCUGUUCCCUGAUAGUUUAAACCAGACCCAGGAUGGGAAGCCUUUUUCUUUCCUACAUAUUUAAUGGCCUUAAUGAGAUAACAAUGAGAACCUGUGUUUGGGCUCUUUAAUUCAUUUGGCUCCCUGGUUGUGUUUAUAUGAUAAAAGCGGUAGGGUGUUAUUUAUGUGCUUAGCUGGGGUUUAUCCUUUUUAAACAGGUCUGGACAGCUAGCUGUUAUACUUGGCUCAUGUGAGCAAAAAAGGAAAAAAAAAAAAAAAAAAGGAAAAAAAUAAGGAAUUUAUGGACUGUCCUGCAGAACGUCCCAGUUCUUCCAGGCCAAGCUCCAGGCAACGAGAAACAUGCCAUCACAGUCAGCGAACGAGUGAAAGGAACGACAGCCAGAUGGGCCUCCACAGGCCGAGCAUCUGGGGGAGGACAGCCGCCCGUGGACAGAAAGGAGCCUGGGCACACCGGUGGAAAAUGAACUGUGGGAAGGCAAGCGUCACAUCAGCUGUUCAUCAUUGUAUCCUGAGUCAGAGACAGCGCCUUCCGGAUCUUGCAAGAAUCUCCUGCUGGCCCGUCCUCUCUGCAAACACUCGGAGGGGCAUUUUUGGAGACGUGCACAGCCUGGCCAAGUGCUACGGUCUGAAUGUUUGUGUCCCUCCCAGGUUCCUGUGUUGAAAUCCUAAUCCCCUGUGUGAAGAGGUGGGGCCUCUGGAAGGUGCUUAGGUCUGGUGGAUUAGUGUCCUUAGUAAAAGAGGCUCUUUGUCUCCUUCCGCCAGGUGAGGACACAGAAUGUGCCGCCUGUGAACCAGGAAGAGGGCCCGGCCCAGGGCACAGCUGCGCUGGUGCUUUGAUCCUGGACUUCCGGCCUCCAGAACUGUGAGAAACAAAUUUCUAUUGUUUCUAGGCCAUCUAGGCUGACAUUUCGUUAUAGCAGCAGAGCCGGGCUGAGACGCCAAGCUGACACAUUACAAAGCCAUCAUACUAGGUCCAUGCCAACACGGACAGAUGGAGCAAGUGAGAUGUUUUAGAUGGGGGUGUGAACCCCGGAGCCUGGCACAUCGUUCUCUGGAGGGUCCUGCCUCUGCCUGUCCUCCAGCUGCCUGUUCCAAGUCCUCCCAGCCCUCCUCAAAGCCCACCAACACCCCAGGCACAUCUGGGCUGUCAUCGCUGCCCAGAACCCCGAUCCUCACCCCUCUGCUGGGGUGCUCUCACACCUUUCAGUAUUCAAGCUUCAACAAUAGCACCUUUGGGAGUCACUGCCAACCGAGGCUGAGUCACAGACUUCCUCUGUGUCCCUCUCUGCAAACUCCAUUAGUCCAUGUUUCUUGUAUCUCUUUCCAGAGGUAGUCUAGUCAUUCACUAACUAUACUAUAUAUAUUUUCUCUCACAUGAAAGAUAGCACCGAUUAUAUAUAUUUUUUCUGCAUUUUACAUAUUUUUCCUCUUAACACUGUUUCUUGGAG